rnacentral:rRNA from 1 species
AGUGAACGCUGGCGGUAGGCCUAACACAUGCAAGUCGAACGGCAGCACAGUAAGAGCUUGCUCUUACGGGUGGCGAGUGGCGGACGGGUGAGGAAUACAUAGGAAUCUACUUUUUCGUGGGGAACAACGGGGGAAAGGUUCCAAUAAUAGAGGAUAUUACCAACGGGUGAGAUCAGGGGUGAUUGGCAGUUUUGCCGUUUGAUAUAGCCGAUGCCGGAUUAGCUAGUUGAGGGGGUAAGGGCCCACCAAGGCGACGAUCCGUAGCUGGUCUGAGAGGAUGAUCAGCCACACUGGAACUGAGACACGGUCCAGACUCCUACGGGAGGCAGCAGUGGGGAAUAUUGGACAAUGGGCGCAAGCCUGAUCCAGCCAUACCGCGUGGGUGAAGAAGGCCUUCGGGUUGUAAAGCCCUUUUGUUGGGAAAGAAAAGCAGCAGGUUAAUACCCCGCUGUUCUGACGGUACCCAAAGAAUAAGCACCGGCUAACUUCGUG